GAUGAACGCUAGCUACAGGCUUAACACAUGCAAGUCGAGGGGCAGCAUGAACUUAGCUUGCUAAGUUUGAUGGCGACCGGCGCACGGGUGAGUAACUCGUAUCCAACCUGCCGAUGACUCGGGGAUAGCCUUUCGAAAGAAAGAUUAAUACCCGAUGGCAUAGUUCUUCCGCAUGGUAGAACUAUUAAAGAAUUUCGGUCAUCGAUGGGGAUGCGUUCCAUUAGGUUGUUGGCGGGGUAACGGCCCACCAAGCCUUCGAUGGAUAGGGGUUCUGAGAGGAAGGUCCCCCACAUUGGAACUGAGACACGGUCCAAACUCCUACGGGAGGCAGCAGUGAGGAAUAUUGGUCAAUGGACGAGAGUCUGAACCAGCCAAGUAGCGUGAAGGAUGACUGCCCUAUGGGUUGUAAACUUCUUUUAUACGGGAAUAAAGUGAGGCACGUGUGCCUUUUUUGUAUGUACCGUAUGAAUAAGGAUCGGCUAACUCCGUGCCAGCAGCCGCGGUAAUACGGAGGAUCCGAGCGUUAUCCGGAUUUAUUGGGUUUAAAGGGAGCGUAGGCGGACGCUUAAGUCAGUUGUGAAAGUUUGCGGCUCAACCGUAAAAUUGCAGUUGAUACUGGGUGUCUUGAGUACAGUAGAGGCAGGCGGAAUUCGUGGUGUAGCGGUGAAAUGCUUAGAUAUCACGAAGAACUCCGAUUGCGAAGGCAGCUUGCUGGACUGUAACUGACGCUGAUGCUCGAAAGUGUGGGUAUCAAACAGGAUUAGAUACCCUGGUAGUCCACACAGUA
rnacentral:rRNA from 1 species